UCAACCACACAGAGAAGAGACAACACAACAGGAGGAGAGAGAACGUUGUUCCAGACCCUGUCUACUCAGCAGUGAAGACAGACAGACAGAGAUACAGGUAGAGCUGUAUCUGGAUCCAGGGACGUAAUGUACAGACUGAGUGACCCUGUUCAUCAGAACGUCAUGGUGGGUGGAAAAGAUGCUCUCUUCAGCAGCGG